AUGUUCGUUUUGCUGUCUUUUCCGUUUCUAUUCACAAAUUUUGCACUCGCUUCCUUCCUCACUGGCUACUAACACUUCCUUUCACAGCAGCAACUCAGGGCAGGGUAUGUGCAUCCUUGUCUCCUUCUAUGGAUUCUCAAGUGAGGGAAUGUACGUUUUGCUGUCCUUUUAAGUUUCCAUUCACUUAUUUUCCAUUCACUUCCUUCCUCACUGGCUACUAACACUUCUUUUCACAGCACCAACUCAGGGCAGGGUAUGUGCUUCCUCGUCUCCUUCUAUGGAUUCUCAAGUGAGGGAAUGUACGUUUUGCUGUCCUUUUUAGUUUCCAUUCACUUAUUUUCCAUUCACUUCCUUCCUCACUGGCUACUAACACUCUUUUCACAGCACCAACUCAAGGUAGGGUAUGUGCUUCCUCGUCUCCUUCUAUGGAUUCUCAAGUGAGGGAAUGUACGUUUUGCUGUCCUUUUUAGUUUCCAUUCACUUAUUUUCCAUUCACUUCCUUCCUCAGUGGCUACUAAUGCUUCCUUUCACAGCAGUAACUCAGGGCAGGGUAUGCGCUUCCUCGUCUCCUUCUAUGGAUUCUCAAGUGAGGGAAUGUACGUUUUGCUGUCCUUUUUCAUUUCCAUUCACUUCCUUCCUCACUGGCUAUAAACACUUCUCAUCACAUCAGUAACUCAAGACGAGGUACG